rnacentral:rRNA from 1 species
GACAGAGGGUGCAAACGUUGUUCGGAAUUACUGGGCGUAAAGAGUGUGUAGGCGGUGUUCCAAGUUCGGUGUGAAAUCUCCCGGCUUAACUGGGAGGGUGCGCCGAAAACUGGAAUGCUCGAGCGUGGGAGAGGAAAGCGGAAGUUCCUGGUGUAGCGGUGAAAUGCGUAGAUAUCAGGAGGAACACCAGCGGUGUAGACGGCUUUCUGGACCAUUGCUGACGCUGAGACACGAAAGCGUGGGUAGCAAACAGG